rnacentral:rRNA from 1 species
AGUGAACGCUGGCGGUAGGCCUAACAUAUGCAAGUCGAACGGCAGCACAGUAAGAGCUUGCUCUUACGGGUGGCGAGUGGCGGACGGGUGAGGAAUACAUCGGAAUCUACUUUUUCGUGGGGGAUAACGUAGGGAAACUUACGCUAAUACCGCAUACGACCUACGGUUGAAAGCAGGGGAUCUUCGGACCUUGCGCGAUUGAAUGAGCCGAUGUCGGAUUAGCUAGUUGGCGGGGUAAAGGCCCACCAAGGCGACGAUCCGUAGCUGGUCUGAGAGGAUGAUCAGCCACAAUGGAACUGAGACACGGUCCAGACUCCUACGGGAGGCAGCAGUGGGGAAUAUUGGACAAUGAGAGCAAGACUGAUCCAGCCAUACCGCGUGGGUGAAGAAGGCCUUCGGGUUGUAAAGCCCUUUUGUUGGGAAAGAAAAGCAGCAGGUUAAUACCACGCUGUUCUGACGGUACCCAAAGAAUAAGCACCGGCUAACUUCGUG